rnacentral:tRNA from 1 species
AGGCACGUAGCUUCAGUUGGUUAGAGCACCACCUUGACAUGGUGGGGGUCGUUGGUUCGAGUCCAAUCGCGCCUACCA